GUACACGCUGUGACUAGCAUAUCAAUAAGCGGAGGAAAAGAAACUAACAAGGAUUCCCCUAGUAACGGCGAGUGAAGCGGGAAGAGCUCAAAUUUGAAAUCUUAAAGGGUUUCCCUUUACGAAUUGUAGUUUAAAGAAGUGUUUUCUGUUGAGGUUUUGGUAAAAGUUCUUUGGAAUAGGACAUCAUAGAGGGUGAGAAUCCCGUAUUUGACCUUUACUUUCAACUUUGUGAUACACUUUCAAAGAGUCGGAUUGUUUGGGAAUGCAGUCCAAAAUGGGUGGUAAAUCUCAUCUAAAGCUAAAUAUUGGCGAGAGACCGAUAGCGAACAAGUACCGUGAGGGAAAGAUGAAAAGAACUUUGAAAGGAGAGUUAAACAGUACGUGAAAUUGUCAAAAGGGAAGCGUUUGACACCAGUGUUGUUUUUCUGAAAAUCAAUUAAAGAACUGUUUAUGCUAAGCUGUUUAGACUUUAUCAGCUAAUCUGUUUAGUUUUGAGCUUUUCUUUAAUGCACUUUUCAGUUAACAAGUCAACAUCAAUUUCUUUUGCUGUAAAAAAGCUUGAGGAAGGUGGCUUGAGAUUCGUCUUAAGUGUUUAUAGCCUCUUGCCUAUGCAGUCGGAGAGAUUGAGGUCUGCAGCGUAGAUCCUUCGGGGCUAAAUGCAUUUGUGCUAAGUUAUAGCAUUUUAUAGACAACUUGUUGACUAUGAUUUGUCUUGUAGCUUACUCGCUUAUGUUAUUUUACCUACGCUUAGGAUGUUGACUGAUAUGUAGUCGUA
rnacentral:rRNA from 1 species